rnacentral:rRNA from 1 species
AGAGUUUGAUCCUGGCUCAGAGCGAACGCUGGCGGCGUGCUUAACACAUGCAAGUCGAGUGCGCGUCUGUAGCAAUACAGAUGGCGCACGGCGCACGGGUGCGUAACACGUGGGUAAUCUGCCCUUCGAUGGGGAAUAACUCCGGGAAACCGAAGCUAAUUCCGCAUAACAUUCCUUGAACCUCGGUUUGGGGACUCAAAGCCGUAAGGCGUCGGAGGAGGAACCCGCGCACGAUUAGCUAGUUGGUAGGGUAACGGCCUACCAAGGCUUUGAUCGUUAGCUGGUCUGAGAGGAUGGCCAGCCACACUGGAACUGAGACACGGUCCAGACUCCUACGGGAGGCAGCAGUGGGGAAUCUUGCACAAUGGGCGAAAGCCUGAUGCAGCGACGCCGCGUGGGGGAUGAAGCUUUUCGGAGUGUAAACCCCUUUCGACCCGGACGAAUGUCCCGCAAGGGAACUGACGGUACGGGUAUAAGAAGCCCCGGCUAACUACGUGCCAGCAGCCGCGGUAAGACGUGGGGGGCCAGCGUUGCUCGGAAUUACUGGGUGUNAAAGGGUUCGUAGGCGGUGUANCAAGUCGGGAGUGAAAUCUCUGGGCUCAACCCAAANACUGCUUCCGAAACUGCUGUGCUUGAAUGUGG